rnacentral:tRNA from 1 species
CAGGAAAUAGUUAAAAUUAAGAUAUUAAUUUUGGGGAUUAAAGAUAGGGUUUAGAACAUUUUUCCUGA